UACAGAGGUGGCAAGCGUUGUUCGGAAUUACUGGGCGUAACGGGCGCGUAGGCGGUCUUCUAAGUCUUGUGUGAAAUCCCUCGGCUCAACUGAGGAACUGCACGGGAUACUGGAAGACUUGAGUUCGGGAGAGGGAAGCGGAAUUCCGGGUGUAGCGGUGAAAUGCGUAGAGAUGUGGAGGAACACCAGUGGCGAAGGCGGCUUUCUGGUCUGUAACUGACGCUGAGGCGCGAAAGCGUGGGGAGCAAACAGG
rnacentral:rRNA from 1 species